AGGCUGCGUGAACAUGCGAACAGACCCAGACGGUAGGAAACACCUCCCAAAGUACCCAAAGUGAUGGGAAUGAUAUGCACUAUUAAAAUUACAUCAACCUGUGAUUCCAAGACCUUUCAUUAUGGAACCGAAACACAGCUGUAAACUUCACACCUCAGUUUUCAUUCUGCCCUUGAAAAGGAACAGAAAGAAACAAAUCUCUUUUCCAAUUUUUCCAGCUAUUUCCUCAAUAGCUUGAAGAUUUAGCAUUAACUUCUGCAGGAUGAUACCAGGAAAGCUGAGAUAAACCACAGGCCAUUUGAAGGAACUGGAUUGCCGCUGCAGGCUCCCUGAGAUGCUGAAAACUGUAUUGUAUUAUUUUACAAAUUAAACAUAUGUGGCAACCAGCAUCAAGCAAACUAUUGGCACCGUUUUCCAACAGCGUUGGUAUCUCCGUGUCACAUUUUGUAUUGAAGACAUGCUAGAAACUGUGCAACUCCCUGUCCACAAGGAAUUCACUGUCAAGUAAUAAGCACAUAAUUAUUCCACUACUUGCCAUGUCUUAAAUAAAACUGUGUUCCAGAGUCUG
rnacentral:lncRNA from 10 species